rnacentral:rRNA from 1 species
GACGAACGCUGGCGGCGUGCUUAACACAUGCAAGUCGAACGGAAAGGCCCUGCUUGCAGGGUACUCGAGUGGCGAACGGGUGAGUAACACGUGGGUGAUCUGCCCUGCACUUCGGGAUAAGCCUGGGAAACUGGGUCUAAUACCGGAUAGGAGCCAUUUUUAGUGUGAUGGUUGGAAAGUUUUUUCGGUGUAGGAUGAGCUCGCGGCCUAUCAGCUUGUUGGUGGGGUAAUGGCCUACCAAGGCGGCGACGGGUAGCCGGCCUGAGAGGGUGGACGGCCACAUUGGGAAUGAGAUAAGGCCCAGUCGCCUACGGGAGGCAGCAGUGGGGAAUAUUGCACAAUGGGCGCAAGCCUGAUGCAGCGACGCCGCGUGGGGGAUGACGGCCUUCGGGUUGUAAACUCCUUUCGCUAGGGACGAAGCUUUUUGUGACGGUACCUAGAUAAGAAGCACCGGCUAACUACGUG